rnacentral:pre_miRNA from 1 species
AAAAAAGAACAUUCUUGAAUCACUCUCAACCAUCUAAUAUUUUUCCAUACGUUAAGAUAAAUGUAUUGAAGAAUUGCAGGUGGUGGAUAGUUUUUCAACCUUU